rnacentral:rRNA from 1 species
CCUGGCUCAGAGUGAACGCUGGCGGCGUGCUUAACACAUGCAAGUCGAACGAGAACGGAUUAUAGCUUGCUAUAAUUGUCAGCUAAGUGGCGCACGGGUGAGUAAUGUAUAGGUAAUAUGCCUCUUACUAAGGGAUAACAAAUGGAAACGUUUGCUAAUACCUUAUACUCCUUAUUAACAGAAGUUAAUAAGGGAAAGAUUUAUUGGUAAGAGAUUAGCCUGUAUUGUAUCAGUUAGUUGGUGGGGUAAUGGCUUACCAAGACUAUGACACAUAACUGGUUUGAGAGGAUGAUCAGUCACACUGGAACUGAGACACGGUCCAGACUCCUACGGGAGGCAGCAGUGGGGAAUAUUGCACAAUGGACGAAAGUCUGAUGCAGCAACGCCGCGUGGAGGAUGACACAUUUCGGUGCGUAAACUCCUUUUAUAUGAGAAGAUAAUGACGGUAUUAUAUGAAUAAGCACCGGCUAACUCCGUG